UAUUGGCCAAUGGGGGCAAGCCUGUCCCAGCAAUCCGGGUGGGUGAAGAAAGCUCUUGGGGUUGUAAGCCCCCUUUCCCCGGGGAUGAUGAUGACGGUCCCCGCAGAAUAAGGCCCCGGCUAACUUCGUGCCAGCAGCCGCGGUAAUACGAAGGGGGCUAGCGUUGUUCGGAAUCACUGGGCGUAAAGGGCGCGUAGGCGGCCUUGUAGGUCCGGCGUGAAAUCCCUGGGCUUAACCCCGGAGUCGCCCUGGAGACGGCAUGGCUGGAGGCCGAGAGAGGGGGGUGGAAUUCCCAGUGUAGAGGUGAAAUUCGUAGAUAUUGGGAACACACCCAGGGGGAAAGGGGCCACACGGGUCGGGUAUUGACGUGAGGCGCGAAG
rnacentral:rRNA from 1 species